rnacentral:tRNA from 1 species
CGAAUGUAGCCAAGUGGAUCA